AUUAUAGUAGGUAUAUUAAUGAGAGAAUCUAGCAUUAGCAUCAUUAGUCUUCAUUGUAUUUGCGCCUGUUCGGUAAUACUAAUUUUUGUUAAUUUUAAACUAAACCUACGUUUGAUAAUUUUGAAAUCAUGAAGCCGAUUGUUGUCGUUUACUUCGCUCUUGUGGCGCUCUGCGUGGCUGUAAGCUUCGCAGAAUCUUAUGUUUGCGGAUGUGAUCAUACAAAAACGAAACGUAAUUCUGAUUGCGGCAGAUUUGAGAGCCCCGAAAAAUUGCAAGAAUACAAUGAUCUGCCUCCUACAACAUACUAUGAACUGUUGUCAGACAAAGGAGAUUGCGCCGAGUACAACAUUGAGCCAUCAUUCACCCACCCCCGCCCGAAUAAUAAAAAAUAGAAUCAAUAGAAAUUUUGUUGUGUGUAAAAUCAAAAUGAUAAUAAAUUCAAUUCUUCAAUAAAUCUGCAUUUGAAUAAUA